GUGCUUGCUUCGGCAGCAUAGAUAUUAAAAUUGUAAUGAUACAAAGAUUACCAUGGCCCCUGCACAAGGAUGACAUGCAAAUUUGUGAAGCAUUCCAUAAAAAA
rnacentral:snRNA from 1 species